CACGUAUGAGACGAGCGUUAUCCGGAUUUACUGGGCGUAAAGCGCGUGCAGGCGGUUCGGCAAGUUGGAUGUGAAAGCUCCCGGCUUAACUGGGAGAGGUCGUUCAAUACUACCGGACUUGAGAGUGGUAGAGGGAGGUGGAAUUCCGGGUGUAGUGGUGACAGGCGUAGAUAUCCGGAGGAACACCAGUGGCGAAAGCGGCCUCAUGGACCACUUCGGAAGCGCAGACGCGCAAGCUAGGGUAGCGCACGGGAGGCGAUAACAGCGGAGUCC
rnacentral:rRNA from 1 species